UGGAGAAUGUCAUCGAGAUGUUCAUUUCCAAGCCCACUGGACGCCGUGUUUUUUCGAUCAUACAGUAUUAUUAUACACAUAAAUAAUAAUAUUAUACACAUAAACAUCCCUUGAUAAAGAUCAACAUUUUGUAGAGCAAUAACAGCAUCAAAUAAUGGAAAUAAUGGACCCUACUGCUCAAAUCAAAAACAAAAUUUCAUCAUUACCACUUUAUUGGUUAUAUCAAUAAAAGAAAUUAUUGAGUUUAUGAGUCUAGAUCCUACAAGCAAGCAGAUCUAUCACAUAAUUUAAAAUGAAGAUUUAUCUAUUAUAGUAAUUUAUUCUAAUAAUGAAAAAGAAACUUUGGAUCAAAAAAUAUUUUCUUCUGAUGAGGCUUAUGAAUAUUAAAGUCUGUUGAAGUUUGGCCAUUAUGUGUUGGUAUACAAUUUAUUUAUGAUGUUACAGUAGUUAAACCAUCCGAAUACAAAACAUAUUUAAAAUCCACUAUUCUUAAUGAACCAACUUGAGAGGAAGCUAAGAGAAAGGUUCUAUUGGGUGGACUACAAGAAAAAGGGACAUAUACAUGAGGAUCUGGAAGGGCUAUAACAUUACGUCUCAAGCCAUGGAACAAUAGGAAACGAAAUUCAAAGGAAAAUAUUACAAUACGUGGGAUGCAAAUUAUAGUGCAAAGAAUUGAGAAAAAGAAUUAUUAAAAGUAGUUAUAGUUAUGAUAGUUAAACCAUCCGACUACCAAAUAUAUUUAAAAUCCACUAUUCUGAAUGAAUAGCAACUACCAAUUGGGAGGAAGCUGCGAGAACGAUUCUAUUGGGUGAACUACAAGGAAGACAUGAGGAUCUGGAAGGGCUAUAAAAUUAUAUUAUUCCACGUCCCAAGCCAUGUUGGAAUAGCUGGGAGUGAAAAA